UACGUAGGGUGCAAGCGUUAAUCGGAAUUACUGGGCGUAAAGCGUGCGCAGGCGGUUUUGUAAGUCUGUCGUGAAGGCCCCGGGCUCAACCUGGGAAUUGCGAUGGAGACUGCAAGGCUUGAAUCUGGCAGAGGGGGGUAGAAUUCCAAGUGUAGCGGUGAAAUGCGUAGAGAUUUGGAGGAAUACCAGUGGCGAAGGCGGCCCCCUGGGUCAAGAUUGACGCUCAUGCACGAAAGCGUGGGGAGCAAACAGG
rnacentral:rRNA from 1 species